rnacentral:misc_RNA from 1 species
AAGUAUACACGCAUGCAUCACACGUUAGCACCAGCAGCUCAAUGGUGAAGCCGGCGUCGUUCCACACGCUGAUACGACGAAGCGGCUCAUUAACUAGAACGGCCCACGGCGAAGGCCACUCAGGGAAGCGCGGCGCAUGGUUUCCACACGCGACAAGCCCGCUCAGGUUGUUGUUGCACCGGCUUACGCAUAAUAGGAGCUCUGUGCCACUCGCCAUCGCGCUUAUCGUGGUGCUCCUAGUCGCGUCGACCGAGCUGCUAUGGCCGCGGCGCUACGCGCGGUUGCCGGAUGGCCGUAACCUUUCCAUCCCGUACCGCUCCGAAGCCGCAGCGUAUCGAAAAAGCGCUGUGUUCGUCGGGCCACUUCCGCGUGGCAGCGAGAACGUCGUCGCUGGCACGGCAGGAGAAACCGUCCCUGUCGCUGUGCAUGGUCGCUCACGCCGCCAAAAAGCGCUGGAGGCGGAAAUCGAGGAGUACCUGGAGAGCCACGGCAUCCAUCGUGAGCGCCGCACACGCGUCCGGUUUCACACUCUCUCCAACUUUGUAGACUGGAGGCUGUGCACCACACUAGGCUCUGCAGCGCUGGCGGGCUUCAGCGUUCCGGUAACCGGCUUCAAUGACACCUACUCGCACAUUCGGCGCUUCGAACGGUAUCUGGACUUUGUCGAGCGCGAGGGGCUGCAUGACGAAGACAUCGUCGUCACAUUGGACAGCGACGUUUUCUGGACUGGCGCCGACUUUCUCCCCUUCCUCAGAAAGUUCGCGCGUUUUUCACCAGAGACGGAAAGCGACCUAGACGUCGCCGCCGUCCGGGCAUGGGAAGACUAUGGGGAGAAGAAGGCGCCCCUGUACAUGCAGCGCUUGCAGACCGAGAUGCGCAACGGCGCGGCACCCGUGAAGCGUCCUUUGCUGCAGAUGCCGCCUGUGUUGUACAACGCCGACGACCUGUGCUGGUGGGGUCAGCACUCUGAAGGUUUUUUGCAGUGUCCGCUGGCCUUUGCGACGCUGGACCACAUGAUCGAGGUGGCACGCAACCACGUUUCGAGCAUGGACUUGAGCAAGGUAGGGUCACACGCGCUCGUGUGCGGCGAUACGCUGCGGGCGCAACUCAAGAAGUCCUUCACUGGCAAGCAACGGUGGAUGGUGGAUGACUUGCUACGCCACCCGAACACGGCGUCGCCGUACAUGACGCAAGCGAAGCGGUCUUGCGACGAUCCGUUCUUCUACAACACCACCAUUGUGCACAAGUCCAACCCAACCGUGCUGCUGAACGGCGGCAUGCACGUGUCACGCGUGUGGGCGCUGCGCUGGCUGGCAAAGACGCUUGCGACGUACGUGGCGACAGAGACGCCGGUCGCGGAGGCGGAGGACCACCACACGUCUCAGUGGUGGUGUGACCAAGCGCUUUUAGGGCAAAUGUACGUGCGGGCGCGCCUUUACGAGAUCGAGCACAACCUGUUGGCAGGCCCUCCGCUUUCGAUGAGGACGCCGCCAGUCGCGUACGAUAGUCGUUACGGACCGCCAGGCCUUGUUGGUCUGGAUCGGCGGUCUCAGAUGGUAGUUCUCGCCCCGACCAUAGAGCGCAAUCCUAACCUGUUCCACCACGGCGGGUACCUGGAGCGGCAGUUCCCCGGUAGCAGCCGUUGGUGGAUCUGGAACAAGACCGAGUUACUACUGGGCGAGAACGAGCCGCAGGGUCUCCCACUGGGCAGCCUGCAGACAACGCGUGGUGGCGUCCUCGUGACGCCGCCGCUGCUGUGGCGCUCGGCGACCGCAGAGGACAGGUCAAGAGGCUUUCAAAAUGAAGCAGAGGAGGACCCCGACGUCGUUCGUGUUCCUUUUAUACACUACGCCGCGCCUUCCAAGCACAAGCGGUUCACAGCUCAUCGCAACUAUUACGCGUGGAUGGUGGCUGCGCGGCACGACCGCCGGGCACGCGAAUCUGUGACGAACGCUCUCGGGAAGGAGCUGGUGGAGCUGUGGUUCAACGAGGAGCGUGUUUUCGUCAACUUCACACGCAUGUGCGAGGACCCGACUGUCUUGUCUCCGCCGUAGCGCGAGCUCAAUAGAGCCUCAAAAGAACGAAUACGCGUGCCUUGUGUGUCACUUUUUUUUUCUUUUUCGUUGCUCGGCGCGUUGCUCCCGGUGCAGAUGCCGGCGCGCAGCCGCUGUGGUGCCCUCUUGUUUUCCUGUGCUGGUACGUGUCUCGCAAGCGCCAUCGAAUGUGGGGCCUCCGUUCAACCUGCAGUUAUCGUCCGGCACCCCUGUGUGGACGGUGGAGUGUUUCUGUGGAUUUUUGUGCCUGAAGACACCGCACUCUUUUGAGCUUUUCCUUCCUUCUCGUGAUGCUUUCUCUACGCAUCGCCGACGUGCUGGUAGACACAUACGCCUCCGCAUAGUCUUCAUGUGGUCACGCCACCCUUUCCUCUCCGCCCUGUUGGUCAACUUGGGCUGAGGAGUAUCUACCAGAGCGCCUCCGUUUGCCGCCACCCCCCCCCCUCCUCCCCUCCACCACCAUCGUCACCGCCAAUCUCUCAAGUAACUUAAAAAAAUUAUACAUAUAUAACGUGUUGUUUUCCUUUUAGUCUUUUUCGCUUGUUUCAUGUGGUAUGGGUAUGCUCCCGUGUGAGUGACGCAUAUGUUUCUCUCUGCGGGUGGGCCGGCUGGGGCGGUUUGGGAGGGGCCGUGGGGGCGCAGUGGAGGGAGCGCAAAAAGGAGAGGGAAGCACGGCGCGCAGUCGGAGCGAACUUGUGGAGAAGGCCACCCAUAAAGCCGACACAGCGGCAGGAAGUUCACGGAAGACACACGUAGAGCCGAGGUGAACACUCUG